UACGUAGGGUGCAAGCGUUAAUCGGAAUUACUGGGCGUAAAGCGUGCGCAGGCGGUGAUGCAAGACAGAUGUGAAAUCCCCGGGCUUAACCUGGGAACUGCAUUUGUGACUGCAUUGCUGGAGUGCGGCAGAGGGGGAUGGAAUUCCGCGUGUAGCAGUGAAAUGCGUAGAUAUCCGGAGGAACACCAGUGGCGAAAGCGGCCACCUGGACUGCACCUGACGCUGACACGCGAAAGCUAGGGGAGCGAACGGG
rnacentral:rRNA from 1 species